CCCGCCUCCCCGGACCGCGGGGCUGAGCGGAAAGGGAGCGCGGGGGGCGCGCGCGUGGAUAGGCUGAGCGCGCCGCGCAAUCACGUGACACCGCACGCGACCCCCGGUAGAACCGUGGUACUUUAAUGAGCCCCGUACAGCGCGCGCCGCCGCAGCGUCUCAGCGCCCGCCCCGCGCGGCCCCUCCUCAGAGGUCGGCGCGAGCGCCCGCCGCCCUCGGCGCGUACUUGGGCAUCAGUUCGUGGAUCCUGCGGAUGAAGUCGGAUUUCUCGGCGCAGCCCUUGCACGCCUCGCCCCAGUCGUCGAGGAUCCGCCGCAGCUCCUUGACGCGCAGCUUGCGCAGGUCGGCGGUGCUCAGGUCGAUCUGUUUGUCUGCGGGGAGAGCAGAGCCGCGCUCAGCACGGAGCGCCGGGGGGUUCCGGCGGCGUCACCGCGCGGCGCGGCGGGCGGCACAGCGCUGAGCUGCAGAGCUCCGCGGCGACCCCGAAAGCCCCCUUCGCCGCAGCGCUGCGGCUGUCCUCCGCGGGACGGAAAGGGCGGUGGGGUCAGCGCGGAGGAAAGGCGGCGGUGACAGCGACGGAGGGCUGGCUGGGAAGCUACGGGGCGUUAGUGCAAGAAACGAGGAGUGCAGCAACCACAGCCCGGCGUGGCUGUGUCCAGGGGAUGUAAGGGCAGAGGGACGGCAGGCAGAAGGCACUUCCGUGGCCGUUCUUCACAUCAGUCUUCUCGGGAGGAGCACAUCAGCACGGAACACGAGCUCGAGGAGGGUGGUGAGAAACAGGACAGGCGACAAAGCAGCGCCCAUCGAUGCCAGCAGCGCCGGCACAGCCCAGCAGCCCUGCCAUGAGCUCAGCAGGCACCAUCGCAGCCCAGGCGUACUGCGUGCUGUCCUCACGGCCGUUAUUCCAACAGGGCUUUGAGCACAGCACUGCUGGCGCCUGGGAGGUCGAGCAGUGGUUCUGCGGGAGCUAAAGGGGUUAGCAGCCAGCAGCCCCACCUGAGCAUCCCCAUACAGCUGUGCAGGAUAUUCACAGACAACAGCCCAGCUUGUGCAACUACCCAGGCUGGUGACCUCCACGACUUCAGCAUGCUUUUACCCACAGUGAUGCAGUAUCCCAGGAAGGUGCAUCCAUUUUCCCCUUCUGGCAACUCACCGUAUUUCAGCUCGCAGAUCUGACUGUCUUUCUUCUUCAGUUUCUCGCAGAUCUUUUCCACGGGGAUGUGGUGACUCAUGGGUUUGGAAACCUCGUUAAUAAUUUUGGUGGCUGCAUCACUUGUGGCCCCAAUGUAAUAGCACUAAAGGGAAGAAAAAAAGCGAGGUGGAAAUGCAUGGAAACGCUCUUCUAAAUGUUCUUCUAUCCAUCUCUUUGCAGUUUGAUGUUUACAGUUAGAGAGCUUUCCAAGGGACUGCCAUAGGAGGGCAAAAGAAAGCCUGACUGUGAGCCAAGGGUCACUUCUCACACUGCUUCCCACUUUCCAGCACUGCCUUGCUGCUGCCUUGUUUUUAACAACUUGAAUUGGAUUACUGCAGCUUUCUUUGUUAGGGGACAAAGACUUUCGGAGGCAUUGCCCCCCUUUGUCUAUGGGUGUCCUUCUGCAGUCCUCUUCUUAGGAGAGCUCACCUGGUUUUACUUUAGGGCAGUUUGGUUUUCCUACAGCUGAACAGCUGAAAAGUGUCAAACAUUUUAACAGUUUAUGUAACACUCCAAAUGCAGGCUGACAGAGAAGUCCCACAGCAAAUAAAAGCUCUGUAAUUCCAAGCCCUUUGGUAACAGGGAGAAAUAAGGUCAGCAGCAAGACGUCUGUUGACAGAUAUAUCUGUAUGUUUAAAGUGAACUUCAUACAACAAGGUCAUACUCCCUGUCUCCUUUGCAACAAUGAAAAAUUACACGACCAGUUGUGGCCACAGAGCCAGGAAGCACAGCCCCCAGGGAGGGACGUCAUACAAACACAGAAGUGCUAGUUUCCCCUUGUUUGCCAAGCGUUCUACAACUUAUUUCCUCCAGAGUCAAUGUUGACGACUACUUACCAACCGGUUCUCUUUGCCUUUUGCCUCUCUGCAGGAUUUCAUGAGCUCCUUUUCAAUACUGGCGGGCGUGAACUCAACAUUGUUGUCCUUUAGACUCUGGUAGAACCUCCCCAGGAAGGUGACACACACCUCGCACUCCCCGUCGCGCAGCGCCCGGCUGCCGGCCGGCAGCAGGAGCAGGGCCAGCGUCGCCCAGAGCCCGUGGGCCGCCCGCAUCCCGCCUCGCUCGGCGCCCGCCACACCGCACUUAAAACUGAGAAAUGAAAUUACUGCCAAGAUAUCUUGCCAUUGCGAUAAACAGAUCAACUCAGCAGUCACUCAGUGAGCAUUGGUUGGAGCAGUGAGGAACCCAUCAAAAAAUGAACCAUGGAUUCUGCUGCCAUUUGGAAGUACUGCCUCAGAACUCUGUGAACAUUUGUGAUGGAUCAACAGGCAUCUCAGGCUGUUGCACGUCAGGUAAACCAACCGAGCUGCCACAUCUGCCUGAUGCUCGCUUUGAGAAGUUGUUAUUAAAGAAAUAGAGGACUGCCCAUGAGAGAAUGUUUUGAAAACUCUUCCUUAACUACACCUAACAGCUGCAAGGACCUUCUGGUUGCCUCCUCCCAGCCCUCCUCAGUCAAAGGAAGCCGCAUCUGUGGAAGUCUGGAGCACGCUGUCAGGAGGACAGCAAUGAAUGUACAGCUGUACCACUUUAAUAUCAGAUGGGGCCGGCAGGUACGCUCAUGACGGAGAGAUGUGCUGCAGAAUUCCACCAAUUGUUUCAGGAAUGCACAUGCUAUUCUGUUACGCAACGAAAACCCAAGGAAGGCAAGGAUGCAUUACGUCUGAAUCAGAGUUAAGUGCAGAACGAACGGGUCCUGUUCAAAACAUCCCGUUACUGUGGUUUAUACAAAGAAUCUUCAAAUCCUGUUGCACCAGUGCAACAACUGCUGUUGCUUCCCCCUGCUCCAGGACUGAGUUUGCUGAUGGAGUUGCACUGUGCUAGAAAGCCACCCCACCCUCCAGAGAAGUAUUAGUUCCGUGAAGUACUUGUUCCAGCAUUCACAAAACCUAACAGCAGUCUAUCUUCUGCACCCUUUAAGUUAAGCACUGAAAAGGGUGACAGAAUGUGUAGUAGGCAUCAGAACAACAGAAAUUUAACUCCACAGAGGCUCAAAUUUAGUGAAUUCAGUAAUUUAUUCCAUCCUCCUUUGUGUGCACCUGCCAUAAAUUGGGUAUCUGUAUACACCAUUCCAUUAUCUUCAACCCCCCUGCAAAUACAUAGUUAUGACAGACACUCAGAAUGGUCAGACUGCUGUUGUACAGCCCUUCUAAUCAGAGCGAGGUGGUGCACUGUGAGAGACUGAUGGGAGCUCCAGGGCAGGUCUUCCAGCUGAAUGGGACUUUGCCCCAUGUUAAUUGCAUUCCUGCUUUUGCAGUUUUAUUUGCAGGACCUGCUGGUUUUUUGGUGUUUUUUUUUUUAAUACAAUGAGGAAGUUCAGUAUAUCAGUACAUGUACUACUUUCAACCUUCCCACCAAAAAAACCCCCCAAAAACCAACCAAAACCAAACGUGGUCAGGGAGAUGGAAUUGAGUACUUAAUUCUCUUAAAAAUUUCUAAGAAUAACAUGAAAAUAUUUCACUCACUUCUAAGGAAUUACCUUGACUUACCUUCAUUGAAAACAUAACUCUGAAUGAGCUUUCGUAUCUGUGUGCUAUACCAGAGACCCAGCUUGGUUCAUUAACAGUUAGGGCGGUUCUACUACUGGAAAACUCUCACUCCUGCUAGAGAUGAAACAUCCACCGUAUGCCGGAUUUAAUAUCAUUCUCUUCUUAAUUGUGAUGGUUGUAGGGAUUACAAGCAGCCUAUGUUAGUGACAAAAUAGAGGAAGCACAAGAGACUUUGUUCCAGCCAAAUGGGCCACUUAAGAAACAAAACCAUAAUUUAUUACUUUUGUAUGGGCUAGAGCUUGAGAAAGAAAAGAAAGAAAUCCUCUUAAAAUCCCCUUCGCAUGACAGCUGACUGAGCCCAGACUUUGUACAGACAGACCAUCUUUAGGAGAGUUCAGAAGCAAUGUACUCCGCCCAGUCACUGUCUUUAGAGGUAGUGCUUAAGGUGACCUGUAACAGAGGCGUAUCCUUUUUUGCUUCUUUAUGCUGUUUGUAGAAGGAGAAACUGAGUGACUAGGGGAUUCCUAUUUCUGACACUAAUUUACGUGGUGGAGGAAAGUCUUUUGUCUGAAUGUGCUUCAGGUUUUUCAGUGGUAACUUACCAUCUUCUGGAGUGUGCUUUGCAGUCUGCAGGUGGAAAUGAAUGUAAGGAAAGGCCAAAAUGUGUGCGGGCACGGCAGCAGGAAAGAGCAUUACUUAUUUAUCUAAAAACACUAGAUACCUGCUUUUUUGAUCCAAAGUUUCUUGAAAAAUAUGAAAAUAUGAAAAUAGAAGAUUUCUUCUAGUUCUUUUCACACCACAGGUCUUGCCUCUUACCACAGAACUUUUUCCUGUCUUUUAAUGCAACUCAACUAAGCAAAUACUGAUUAAAAGGUUUGUUUCACACACGUGUGUACUGACUCCGCUUCUGCAUAGUUCUGUUUCUUGUUUUUGUUUGUUUGUUUUCUUUGCUUUUUUUCUAAAUCUCCCACCUGCACUGAAUUCUUCAUCCCUUUCUG
rnacentral:lncRNA from 1 species